UGGGUUGUAGCUCAGUGGUAGAGCGCUUGCCUUGCAUGCGUGAGGCACUGGGUUCAAUCCUCGACACAA
rnacentral:tRNA from 1 species